GACGAACGCUGGCGGCGUGCCUAAUACAUGCAAGUAGAACGCACAGUUUAUACCGUAGCUUGCUGCACCAUAGACAGUGAGUUGCGAACGGGUGAGUAACGCGUAGGUAACCUGCCUGGUAGCGGGGGAGAACUAUUGAUAACGCAAGCUAAUACCGCAUAAUAUUGAUUAUUGCCUGAUAAUUGAUUGAAAGAUGCUAUUGCAUCACUACCAGAUGGACCUGCGUUGUAUUAGCUAGUAGGUGAGGUAACGGCUCACCUACGCGACGAUACAUAACCGACCUGAGAGGGUGAUCGGCCACACUGGGACUGGGACACGGCCCAGACUCCUACGGGGGGGAGCAGUAGGGGAUCUUUGGAAAUGGACGGAAGGCUUGACGCGGAACGCCGGGUGGGUGGAGGAGGGCUUCGGGUCGUAAAGGUCUGUUGUAAGGGAAGAACGCGUGUGAGAGUGGAAAGUUCACACUGUGACGGUAUCUUAACAGAAAGCGACGGCUAACUACGUG
rnacentral:rRNA from 1 species